UGAGACUCUGUGCGCGUGCAUAUCAAUAAGCGGAGGAAAAGAAACUAACAAGGAUUCCCUUAGUAACGGCGAGUGAAGCGGGAAGAGCUCAAAUUUGAAAUCUUCAAGGUUCUACCUUGACGAAUUGUAGUUUAUAGAAGUGUUUUACUGUUAGUGGAGUGGCAAAAGUUCUUUGGAAUAGGACAUCAUAGAGGGUGAGAAUCCCGUAUUUGGUCAUUCCUCCUAGCGUUGUGAUACACUUUCAACGAGUCGGAUUGUUUGGGAAUGCAGUCCAAAAUGGGUGGUAAAUUUCAUCUAAAGCUAAAUAUUGGCGAGAGACCGAUAGCGAACAAGUACCGUGAGGGAAAGAUGAAAAGAACUUUGAAAAGGAGAGUUAAACAGUACGUGAAAUUGUCAAAAGGGAGGCGUUUGACACCAGUGUUGUUUUUCCGAAAAUCAAUUACGAAUGUUUUGUUUUUGAGGAGUUAUGACUUCAUCGGCUUGCUUCCUCUCUUUAUGAAACUUUCUUAAUGCACUUUUCGGUUAACAAGUCAACAUCAAUUUCUUUUGUUGUAAAAGGGUAUGAGGAAGGUGGCUUUCUUUUCGGAGAAAGUGUUUAUAGCCUUGUAGCCUCUGCAAUCGGAGAGAGUUGAGGUCUGCAGCGUAGAUCCUUCGGGGUUAGAUACAGUUUGUGCUAAGUUAUAGCUUUUCAUAGACAACUUGUUGACUAUGUUUAGUCUUGUAGCUUACUCGCUGAUGCUAUUUUACCUACGCUUAGGAUGUUGAACUCUAUCACACACAG
rnacentral:rRNA from 1 species